rnacentral:rRNA from 1 species
UACGGGGGGGGUAAGCGUUGUUCGGAAUUACUGGGCGUAAAGGGCUCGUAGGCGGCCAACUAAGUCAGACGUGAAAUCCCUCAGCUUAACUGGGGAACUGCGUCUGAUACUGGAUGGCUUGGAUUCGGGAGAGGAAUGCGGAAUUCCAGGUGUAGCGGUGAAAUGCGUAGAUAUCUGGAGGAACACCGGUGGCGAAGGCGGCAUUCUGGACCGAUAUUGACGCUGAGGAGCGAGAGCCAGGGGAGCAAACGGG